rnacentral:rRNA from 1 species
GAUGUACGCUGGCGGCGUGCCUAACACAUGCAAGUCGAGCGAUCUCUUCGGAGAGAGCGGCGGACGGGUGAGUAACGCGUGGGUAACCUGCCCUGUACACACGGAUAACAUACCGAAAGGUAUGCUAAUACGGGAUAAUAUAUAAAAGUCGCAUGGCUUUUAUAUCAAAGCUUUUGCGGUACAGGAUGGACCCGCGUCUGAUUAGCUAGUUGGUAAGGUAACGGCUUACCAAGGCAACGAUCAGUAGCCGACCUGAGAGGGUGAUCGGCCACACUGGAACUGAGACACGGUCCAGACUCCUACGGGAGGCAGCAGUGGGGAAUAUUGCACAAUGGGCGAAAGCCUGAUGCAGCAACGCCGCGUGAGCGAUGAAGGCCUUCGGGUCGUAAAGCUCUGUCCUCAAGGAAGAUAAUGACGGUACUUGAGGAGGAAGCCCCGGCUAACUACGUGCCAGCAGCCGCCGCAGUAA